CCGCCGCCUCCUCCCCCUCACUACGGUUCCCAGCCCCGGGCUGGCCCAGCGCGUCCGGUUUUGCGGGAAGCAAUGGCAACUAGCGCCGUGGAGGUGUUCGGGCUCCAGGAGGACGAGGAAAAUUCACGAAUUGUGAGAGUGAAAGUUAUAGCCGGAAUAGGCCUUGCUAAGAAAGAUAUCUUGGGAGCGAGUGAUCCUUAUGUGAAAGUGACGUUAUAUGACCCCAUGAAUGGAGUUUUUACAAGUGUGCAGACAAAAACCAUUAAAAAGUCUUUGAAUCCAAGAUGGAAUGAAGAAAUACUGUUCAGAGUCCAUCCCCAGCAGCACCGGCUCCUCUUUGAAGUGUUUGAUGAAAACCGAUUGACAAGAGAUGAUUUUCUAGGUCAAGUGGAUGUUCCUCUGUAUCCAUUACCGACAGAAAAUCCAAGAAUGGAGAGACCAUAUACAUUUAAGGAUUUUGUUCUUCACCCAAGAAGUCAUAAAUCAAGAGUGAAAGGUUAUCUGAGAUUAAAAAUGACUUAUUUACCUAAAACCAGCGGCUCAGAAGAAGAUAAUGCUGAACAGGCAGAGGAAUUAGAGCCUGGCUGGGUUGUUUUGGACCAACCAGACGCUGCCUGCCAUUUGCAGCAGCAGCAAGAACCUUCUCCUCUUCCCCCAGGAUGGGAAGAGAGGCAGGACGUCCUGGGAAGGACCUACUACGUAAACCAUGCGUCACGGAGAACACAGUGGAAAAGACCAACUCUGCGGGAUGACCUAACGGAUGCUGAGGACGGGGACAUGGAGCUGCAAGCACAGCGAGCCUUCACUACCCGGAGGCAGAUAUCCGAAGAAGCGGAAGGCCUGGAUCCUCGGGACACCUCUGAGAACUGGGAAGUGAUAAGAGAAGAUGAAGCCGCCAUGUACAGUGGUCAGUCCUUCCCAUCACCGCCGACAUCGAGUAACCCCGACACUCACUUUCACCUUGCAGAAGAAUUGAAUUCCAGACUCACCAUGUAUGGCAAUUCAGCUACCAGCCAGCCCAUGUCCAGCUCAAAUCAUUCCAGCAGAAGAGGCAGUUUACAAACCUAUUCUUUUGAGGAACAGCCUACACUUCCUGUGCUUCUGCCUACUUCGUUCGGAUUGCCGCCUGGGUGGGAAGAGAAACAAGAUGAAAGAGGAAGAUCCUAUUACGUCGAUCACAAUUCUAGAACCACCACCUGGGCAAAGCCCACCACACAGGCCACAACGGAGACCAGUCAGCUGCCGACUAGCCAGAGCUCUGCCGGCCCUCAGCCGCUGCUUCCUGCCAGUGACCCAGUGUUGCAAGUGACAAAACCAUCCGCAGUUGAACAAGGAUUCCUUCCGACAGGCUGGGAAGUCCGCCAUGCACCAAAUGGAAGGCCCUUCUUUAUUGACCACAACACCAAAACCACCACCUGGGAAGAUCCAAGAUUGAAAAUCCCAGCUCAUCUGAGAGGGAAACCUUCAUUGGACCCACCUAACGAUCUAGGACCUUUACCUCCAGGAUGGGAAGAAAGGACCCACACGGAUGGAAGGAUCUUCUACAUAAAUCACAAUAUAAAAAGAACCCAGUGGGAAGACCCUCGCUUGGAGCAUGUCGCCAUUACUGGACCAGCAGUACCUUACUCCAGAGAUUACAAAAGAAAGUAUGAGUUCUUCCGAAGAAAAUUGAAGAAGCAGAAUGACAUUCCAAACAAAUUUGAAAUGAAGCUCCGCCGGGCGACGGUUCUAGAGGAGUCCUACCGGAGAGUGAUGAGUGUCAAGAGAACCGACCUCCUCAAGGCUCGGCUCUGGAUCGAGUUCGAUGGGGAGAAGGGCUUGGACUAUGGAGGAGUCGCCAGAGAAUGGUUCUUCCUCAUCUCAAAAGAAAUGUUUAACCCCUACUAUGGAUUGUUUGAAUAUUCCGCUACGGAUAAUUACACCCUACAGAUAAACCCUAACUCGGGCCUGUGUAACGAAGAUCAUCUCUCUUACUUCAAGUUCAUUGGUCGGGUCGCCGGGAUGGCUGUUUAUCAUGGCAAACUCUUAGAUGGUUUCUUCAUCCGCCCUUUCUACAAGAUGAUGCUACAGAAACCCAUAACGCUUCAUGACAUGGAGUCAGUGGAUGGUGAAUAUUAUAAUUCGCUAAGAUGGAUUCUUGAAAAUGAUCCAACAGAACUGGACCUCAGGUUCAUCAUCGACGAGGAACUUUUUGGACAGACACAUCAACAUGAGUUGAAAAAUGGCGGAUCAGAAAUCGUGGUCACCAAUAAGAACAAAAAGGAAUAUAUUUACCUUGUAAUACAAUGGCGGUUUGUCAACCGAAUCCAGAAGCAGAUGUCUGCUUUUAAAGAGGGCUUUUUUGAACUAAUACCACAGGAUCUCAUCAAAAUUUUCGAUGAAAAUGAACUAGAGCUCCUUAUGUGUGGAUUGGGGGACGUCGAUGUGAAUGACUGGAGAGAACACACCAAGUAUAAAAACGGCUACUGUGCCAAUCACCAAGUCAUCCAGUGGUUCUGGAAGGCCGUGUUAAUGAUGGACUCGGAGAAGAGAAUACGGCUGCUGCAGUUCGUCACCGGCACAUCCCGGGUGCCCAUGAACGGGUUUGCCGAGCUCUACGGCUCGAAUGGACCACAGUCCUUUACGGUGGAGCAGUGGGGUGCCCCUGAGAAGCUGCCCCGAGCACACACCUGCUUCAAUCGCUUGGACCUGCCGCCCUAUGGCUCCUUUGAAGAAUUAUGGGAUAAGCUGCAGAUGGCGAUCGAAAACACUCAGGGUUUCGAUGGAGUUGAUUAAGCCAAACCAGCCGUGGUAUCUUCCUUCCCCCCACCCCCCCCCUGCAAUUUUCAUAAGCAAAAUCUUACCUUACAUGUGUCUGGGAAAAGACUGAAAACCUAGCCACUGCGUCGGCCCCCAGCUAGCGCAGGAAAAGUUACCGAAAGAAAAAACUAGAAAGAAAAGCAUGACAGCUUGCCACCACUUUCCUCUUUCCACCGUGUCUCAGAGCAUUCGUUCUGUCUUUACGAGUGAGUUUCCACGCCAGGAUUUACAAGUCCUGAAACCUGACACACCAAAAUCCUUCCGGACUCCUGCCUUCACAUCUACUUUUGUGGAAGUACAUAAAGGCCACGCCGCAUGCAUGCAUUCAGGGAACGUGACCUGAGUGCCUGUGUAUGCACAAUGCUGUGUAAGCCCUUGGGAUCAGGGUCCUUGAACAGCAGUGAACUGUAGCUCAGUGUUCAUCCUCAAGGAGAUGACAAAUGUGUACAAAUGAAUUUGCAAACCAGCCGUCAUAGGAAUGAGCCAGAACAAAGUGAAAAGAUACUCUAGGUCCCAGUGCACCUGCAGAAAAUAAAUUGUGCCAAGACUGUGUGGAGAUGUUGCCUAUCAUAUAUUGGAAUGGUUAUAUAGAAAAAUUCUAGACAAUGCUAUGAUUAAAAAAAAAACAACAAAAAACAAUACUAAGCCUAUUUCUCAGUAUGGUUAUCUCGGUGAUGUAAGAAUAAUUGUAAAUAUGUGUUACAAACAUUCUGAAAUCUAUAUAAAUGUUCUGAGAGACUUAUCCCAAAGACCUCUGGCCACUCGCUUACGCUUGUUUGGGGUCUGCCAUCCCCUGGUGGAGAUUUCUGACCAUGGUCAGCAAGCCACUUGCCAAACUUCCUCCCAGCCUGGAUGGAUCGUACACUCUCCCUCAUGUCAACCAGCAGGGCUGCCAGGCCAGGACCGCCUUUAUUUAGUCUGGCUGGGUGAACCACAGCAAGUUGUUGAACCCCUCUGGGCUCCUUUGUCUUCAUCUGUCAAUCAGAAGAACAGUGCCCGCCCUGUGGCCAUGCAGAAUUAUGCCAAGUUCCGGAGAAAAAUCAGAAAAGACUUUGGAAAGCACUAGUCUGAAGAAGCUUUCGCCUAGCCAUCAGAUUCUGUCAGAUCAGGUGCUCCCCAAGAAUUGCUUCUGUUGAAAGUGUAUCGGGGAUUGGGGAAGUCGGGGCUUGGCUGAUACUACGUGCGCAUCUCUGGGUGUGUGUUAGGACCCGUCACAAUCCUGAUUCAGUUUUUCCACCAGAGCAAAGUAAUAUCAAUAUGGGCCGAUCCAUUUGGAAAUGUGCUUAUUAUGUAGUACGGAAUGUAAAAGUCAUUGUUGGAAAGCAAGGUUUUAUUUUUUUAAUUCUUUUUUGUGCCAGCACUGGGGCUUAAACUCAGUGCCUACGCGCUGCCCUUUAGCCUUUUUUUUUUUUUUUUUUUUUUUUUGCACAAAACU